CUGAGAAGAUAGUGGCGAACGGGUGAGUAACACGUGGGUAACCUAGCCCGAUAAGAGGGGGGAUAACAUCCGGAAACGGGUGCUAAUACCGCGAUAGUUUUCUUGAUCGCAUGAUUGAGAAAGGAAAGACGGCCUUUGUGCUGUCGCUUAUGGAUGGACCCGCGGCGUAUUAGUUAGUUGGUGAGGUAACGGCUCACCAAGACGAUGAUACGUAGCCGACCUGAGAGGGUGAUCGGCCACAUUGGGACUGAGACACGGCCCAAACUCCUACGGGAGGCAGCAGUAGGGAAUCUUCCGCAAUGGACGAAAGUCUGACGGAGCAACGCCGCGUGAGUGAAGAAAAGGUUUUUCGGAUCGUAAAACUCUGUUGUCAGAGAAGAACAAGUUGGAGAGUAACUGCUCCAGCCUUGACGGUAUCUGACCAGAAAGCCACGGCUAACUACGUGCCAGCCGCAGC
rnacentral:rRNA from 1 species